AUGAAGUGGCGCCAAGCUUCUGGCAUUCUCUGUGACAAGAGAGUGCCACAAAAGCUAAAAGGCAAGUUCUACAGGACGGCGGUUCGACCCGCAAUGUUGUAUGGCGCGGAGUGUUGGCCGACUAAAGGGCGACAUGUUCAACAGUUAGGUGUGGCGGAGAUGCGUAUGUUGAGAUGGAUGUGUGGCCACACGAGGAAGGAUCGAGUCCGGAAUGAUGAUAUACGAGAUAGAGUUGGGGUAGCACCAAUUGAGGAGAAGCUUGUCCAACAUCGUUUGAGAUGGUUUGGGCAUAUUCAGCGCAGGCCUCCAGAAGCUCCAGUGCAUAGCGGACGGCUAAAGCGUGCGGAGAAUGUUAAGAGAGGGCAGGGUCGACCGAUUUUGACAAGGGAGGAGUCCGUUAAGAGAGACCUGAAGGAUUGGAGUAUCGACAAAGAGCUAGCUAUGGACAGGGGUGCGUGGAAGCUUGCUAUCCAUGUGCCAGAGCCAUGA
rnacentral:rRNA from 1 species